rnacentral:rRNA from 1 species
UUCAGCACCGUGUGCACACUUCAAAGUAAUCGUUCCUUGUCCCAUCCCACUUGUACGGGGGAGUUGUAAAAGAAAGGAUCAUUAAUUUGGUUCUCUCCUUAUAGCUCUCCAAAGAGAGGGUAAGAUGUUACAAGAACGAUCUUUGCCUUAUAACAUACCCUUCUUUUUAAAAAUGUUUAUGAACGUCAAACAAUGUAGGCUCGCCUUAAAAACGUGUAGCUGAAAUUAUAAAAUUAUACAACUUUUAACAACGGAUCUCUUGGCUCUCGCAUCGAUGAAGAACGCAGCGAAAUGCGAUAAGUAAUGUGAAUUGCAGAAUUCAGUGAAUCAUCGAAUCUUUGAACGCACCUUGCGCUCCCUGGUAUUCCGGGGAGCAUGCCUGUUUGAGUGUCAUUAAAUUCUCAACCUCGAACCGUUUGUUUACAGACUUUACGAGGCUUGGACUUUGGAGUGUGCCGGUCUCUAACGGGAUCGACUCCUCUUUAAAUGCAUUAGCUGGAACCUCCUGUGGACCAGACUACGGUGUGAUAAUUAUCUACGCUGUUGGUCUUGUGAAGCACUUUAUUGUUGACGCAGGUU